rnacentral:rRNA from 1 species
AGAACGAACGCUGGCGGCAGGCUUAACACAUGCAAGUCGAGCGCCCCGCAAGGGGAGCGGCAGACGGGUGAGUAACGCGUGGGAACAUACCCUCCGGUUCGGAAUAGCUCAGGGAAACUUGGAUUAAUACCGGAUACGGCCUAGCGGCGAAAGAUUCAUCGCCGGAGGAUUGGCCCGCGUCUGAUUAGCUAGUUGGUGGGGUAAUGGCCCACCAAGGCGACGAUCAGUAGCUGGUCUGAGAGGAUGAUCAGCCACAUUGGGACUGAGACACGGCCCAAACUCCUACGGGAGGCAGCAGUGGGGAAUAUUGGACAAUGGGCGCAAGCCUGAUCCAGCCAUGCCGCGUGAGUGAUGACGGCCUUAGGGUUGUAAAGCUCUUUCGCUAGGACGAUAAUGACGGUACCUAGACAAGAAGCCCGGCUAACUUCGUGCCAGCAGCCGC